UCCAAAUGUCCCUAUGUCUCACAGCGUCCCCAUGUGUCUCAGCAUCCCCAUGUGUCCCCUAGUGUCUCAGUGUCCUCAUGUUUUCCAGUGUCCCCAAGUGUCUGUGUCCCCAUGUGUCCUAGUGUCUCAGUGUCCCCUAGUGUCUUUGUUCCCAUGUGUCCCCUAGUGUCUGUGUCCCCAUGUCUCCAAGUGUCUCAGUGUCCCCAUGUUUUCCAGUGUCCCCAAGUGUCUCAGUGUUCCCAGGUCUCCCAGUGUCUGUGUCCUAGUGUCU